AUCAUUCCCACUUACUGCCACCCACGCGUCUAUCUGCUUAUAUACUAUACAGCCAGACUAUACCAUUUCCAUACAGUAUCCAAUUAUCUCACAAAAGAAAUUACAAUAUAUUUGUACACAGAAAUAAUUACACAUAUUUUAUCAGUAGCUAAUUUAUAUCUAAUAAUCACCUAUCUAAUUAGAUACCAGAAAACAAUACCGAAUACACUUUACAGCUCCCCCCAUCUAAAAUAGCCGGUUCUUCUUGUCCAGUGCUUCCAAUGAAAUUGCACAGAAGCAUGACGUUCGGAUUACGUCAUUCCAGUUUGAACAUGGAACAAGUGAAACAGAACAGACAACGAGAUAACAGUCGGAGGCACCUGCUUCUGAACAUCCACGUGUGUCCGCGUUUGUCUCCCCCUCAUCCACAAGUGUAUUACCCGCUGAGCACUACAAGAUCGACGGGCAUAACAAUCCAGCAUCUGAAGAUGUGAGGGAAGAAAAAAAAUGAAAACCUUUUGAACAGAUGAGAGACGGCGGGAGUAGUCCCUCUCUAUCUCUUUCCGGAGGACCGGGCUGCCUCCACUUUUGUCAUUCCAUUCCUGUCCACAAAGUCUGCCAUUUUUACUGUCUACGCUCCUCAGCUUGCCCUUCUCUUUCACAACAUACACACCGCCUUACUGCACGUUCUCCUUUCUUCUUUUGAAAUGUGGGCUUUUCGGUUUCCUGCUGCACUUCCUGUUUGCUGUUUUUUUUUUCAUUGCGAGUCUCUUGGUCCUGUCAAUGUCAGGGAGAACGCAUCCAGAACAGAACAGACAUGGCUACACCAUGCUGAAACAGAAAUCGAUGCAUGCUGUGGACUUCCUCAUCAGGGCUUUGGGGAAGUACCUGUCCUGCUUAUAGUUCAGUGAGGGGCAUGGAGUUUUGUGGACAGGUGAUAUGUCUUAAUCUGAGGCACACACCCCCUCACUACUGUGGCCUAUAAUGUGAUGGGACAUCUGUGGACUAUUUCACUUUCUGAUCGUCCAACUAAACGAAUGCCAAAUAAUGGUGGCAUUAUCACUCUCUUAACAAACUGCAGAAAUGGAGAAUGAAAAGUGUAAUUUUUCUGCACAUUAUUCCCUCCUGAUUAUCAAAGCUAUUUCAGUCCUUCUGUACUACUAAUUUUCUGUCCCAUUGGACUAUUACUAGGAGGUAGUCCAAUCUGGUCCUUUUAAUGGUCCUUUUAAGUACUCUUCUAUGCAUUAUUAUUAUUAUUAUUAUUAUUACUGCUGUUGUAACUAUUUUGUUGGGUGAGGAUUCCUCAAUAUGCCAAUAUUUAUGACACGCAAUUAACUGCCGUAGGUGUACAUUUUCAAAAAUUUGCAAAUAGGAACAUCGUAGUCUUGGAACACAGCAAUUAUGUGAGUGUGAUGUUCACUUCUGGGUCAGUUCAAACAGCAGGGCAGCCACCUGCUAGUGCAAUUCCCUGCAGAGGCACCUGUAGCAGAUGCCUAUAAGUCUGCAAUUUCACCACCUACGGCGCAGUCUGGUAGUAUUUGGGCAUUGACACAAUUUUUGUUGUUUUGGCUCUGAACUCCAGCAUACUGAAUCUGAAAUGAAACAAUGAAGGUUAAAGUGCAAGCUGUCAGCUUUAAUUUAUGGGUAUUUGCAUCUAUAUCUGAGAUCCAUGUAGGAAUUGCUGCCCUUUUUAUACAUAGUCCCCCCCCGUUUUAGGGGACCAAAAGUAACUGGACAGUUGGACAUUCAGCUGUGUCAUAGCCAGGUGUUUUGUUGCAUUAUUAGUUCAUGCACAAGAAAGUUAACACACGGUCUAGAGUUCAUUCUAGGUGUGGCAUUUGGGGUCUGUUGUUGUUGUAUCAAAUGAAUGAGGACACAAAAAAUGUCAAUGCCAGUAAAGCAGGCCAUCAUGGGGUAAGAAUAAAUCAGAGACAGUCAAAUCAUUUGGUGUGUCAAAAUCAACUGUUCGGUACAUUGCUAAGAAGCUAGAAUACACUGGUGAGCUCAGCAAUAAGCACUAAAUAUGACAACUUUGUUAAAUUUAUGUUCAUACAUAAAUAGGGGACUAUGUAUGAAAAGAGCUGUAAUUCCUAUAUGGAUCAUGGAUAUGAAUGAAAAUACUCAUAUUAAAGGUAUAUCAUGUAAGUCUGGAGAAAUGAGCAAGAAAGAAAAAAAAAAACAUUUGAAGAAAAAUGUUCCACCCCCUCUCCUCAGCUCUCUCUUCAAACACAUGCACGCAAACCAUUUUUUCGCAAGAGAUCCAGUUAGCCAGCGAGAGCAACUGAAACCCUUCGAGAGAGAUUGAAACCCUGCGAGAGAGGUCCAAUGGACAGCACUUGCACUCCAGUGGAUAGCAUGCCCGAUUGAAAGUGGCUUGCGUAACAGGUCCGAUGGAGAGCACGUGUGGUCCAGUGGUUAGCGUGGGUGAAUGAAACAUAGCAGCCAGUUAGGUAGCUUCACAUCAGUUAGCUAGAUAAGAAACUUGUUGGCUGGCUUGCUAAUUCCUGUCUGUUGAUUUAUCACGUGAAUUAUUAUUGCAUUAAUAUUAAAAUGAUCAUGAUCGUGUUGACAAUUAUCAUAUAUAGUAAUGUGUUACUUAUUUCCAGUUAUUGAUAAGGCAACUCAACCGUUUUCUGCAUUGUCAUACUUAAUGUGUAGCCAGAUAACAGCAGCUGCCACUUCCUUGUUGUUUACAAUGUCAGUAAUGUUACUACGCUCCCAUACAAUUAGUGGACCAGUUUGGCAACAUUUCACUGGUACAGGAGUAUGAUGCAAGUAUGCAUUUCACCUCUAGAGUAAUGAAAAGACAGGAUGUUCUUGCAUUAAAAAGUAUAUUUUAAUUAAACCAAACGCUCUUUUUUGACAUGGAAACCGACAUGCUAUGAUAAGUUGGCCUACUGUACCAUAUUAUAAAAUUUCUUGUCGAUGGGGUUUGUUCGUUCAUGAAGACCUACUAUAGGUAAGGAAACUGUAAAGCUUAAAGGGGUAAAUUGUCAACAUGAUCAUCAUUUUUUAACUAGCUCAAUAGUAAUUCACCUGGUAAAUCAACAGACACAAACUAGCUAGCCAGCCAGCUAGCUAGCAGAACAAUGUAGUCUUGGCUAACCAGCUAACUCAGGAUACAAAGUAUUUAUCUAGCUAACUGAUGUGAAGCUACCUAACUGGGUGCUACAUUGAAUUCAUCUUUGCUAUCCACUGGACCGUACAUGCUGUCCGUGGUGGGAUCUCUCUUGCAAGUCACUUUCAACCACCCUUGCUGUCCACUGGACCGUACAUGCUGUCCGUGGUGGGAUCUCUCUUGCAAGUCACUUUCAACCACCAUUGCUGUCCACUGGAUUGCGCACGUUGUUCAUUGGACCUCUCUCACAGUGUUUCAAUCUCUCUCGCAGGGUUUCAAUUGCUCUCGCUGGCUAACUGGAUCUCUCUCAUGCAAAAAUGGUUUGUUUCCUCUUGCGCACCUCAGUUCUGGAGAGAGAGGACAAAAAGUAGAGAAAGAAGUGCAACGCAUCAUAUCUCAUUCACAGGUAGAAGAGAAAACGCAUAUCAUAAUGAACGUAAACGAUGAACAUAUAGUUUUUCAUUUACAGCUAUGGGCGAUAGCAAGCAUAUCAUUUACAAAAAUUGUUGAGUUUGAUGCAGUAUUGCUGGCAAGGUAGAGGUAGUUAGUGUGAGCUGGCGGUGUUAACAAAGCUUAAAAAGUAAAAAAGUUAGGGAUCCUACUGCACAACCAAACUUUAUUUUGAAUUUUAUUGUUUUACUACAGCACAUUUCGUUCUUAAUGUCUAUCGAUGAAGCAACUGCAAGUAACUAAGUAACUUCUUUGGCUACACAGUUUGGGGUGACAACAAAUUCCAACAGAAAUAGAACAAGCAAGGUAAUUACCUGUCCAGCAGAAUGACUGCAAGCUCAGCGUCACUUUUGAAGCCCUUUGAAUAGCCGAGUUCUUGCCAUCACUAAAAAGCUGAACCGGUGUUUACUCGUCUCCUUUCUUUUGGUUUAAAAUCUUUCUUUUCACAGUUAUAGUUGGAAAAUAGUAGUAGGCAAAGGCGGAACCGGUCAUUUUGGCAAAUUUUCUCUGCCUUUUGUUUUUUACUGGCUAGCUAUAACACUAUCUCUGCUCUGCUCGUAUCUGUCUAGCCCUGCCCUGUCUGCUCUUACAAUGCUGUGAAAGUGCAACAGGAUUGACAGGCGGGUAGGGAAGGCUCCUUGUACAGAGCUGUCCCGAUUGAUUAAGAUUCAUGCGCGGUAAAUUUGAAUUGGCUGAUUUCAGAGCCUUGGGCAGUCAGAGAGACUAGAUUUUGUUCUUUGAGCUAUUGAUUUAUCGAUAUCUGUCAGAAUGUGGAGGAAAUUUAACAAAAUAUUGACAAAAGUGUUCUAAAACAAACUGCACCUUUAAAGCAGACCGUCUGCACUUUAACCUCAUAGUCUCAUAUUCAUUGUUUCAUCUGAAUGUAAAUCCAAUGUGGUGGAGUUCAGAGCCAAAACAACAAAAAAUGUGUCGCUGCCCAAAUACUUGCAGACUGCACUGUACAGACCAGACCACCCUAACCUGAUAUCAUGGGAAUGCAGUUAAAAUCAAAGCAAGCCCAGGUACUGAGGAGUCAUCUGGGAUCAGGGGAUCCAGCGCGCCCCCCCCCCCACAGUCCCCACAGCCACGGUGUGGCCACAAUCUAUUUAAAUCUGUAUAAACCACUUUGUUACAUGCAUAAUGGAAUUUCUAAAGUAAACAUGUAUCUUGCUG